rnacentral:rRNA from 1 species
GNACGNGUANCNGNGUNCAUGCAGUCGAGCGGACGUAUGGGAGCUGUGCUGCCAUGAUGUGUAGCGGCGGAGGGUUGAGUAAACGUGGUGAACCUGAUUGUAAGACUGGGAUAACUCCGGGAAACCGGGUUUAAUACCGGAUGGUUGUUUGAAGCGCAUGGGCGAUACAUAAAAAGUGGGUUCGGCUACAACUUAUUGAUGGAGCCGCGGUGUAUUAGCUAGUUGGUGAGGUAACGGCUCAACAAGGUGAAGAUGCGUAGUGGACCUGAGAGGGUGAUCGGCCACACUGGGACUGAGACACGGCCCAUAUUCCUACGGGAGGCAGCAGUAGAUAAUCUUACGCAAUGUGAGAGAGUCUGACCUAGCAACGCCAAGGGACUGAUGAAGGUUUUCAAAUCGUAAAGCUCUGUUGUUAGGGGAAGAAAAACCACCGUUCGAAUAGGGGGAUACCCUUGACGGAACCUAACCCGGAAAGCUACGGGUGACUACGUGCCACCCGCCGCGGUAAUACGUAGGGGGCAAGCGUUGUUCGGAAAAUAUUGNGCGUAAAGGCCUCGCAGGCGCCUUUCAUAAGUCUGAUGUAAAAGCCCCCCGAUCACCCUCGGAGGGUCGUUGGAAUUUGGGGUACUUGGGUGAAGAAGAGAAGAGUGACAUUCCACCCCGUAGGGGUAAAAAUGCUUAAAGAUGUGGAGAAACACCCAUGAGAAAAGACUACUCCUCUGCUCGGUAAUGACUAUAAGGAGAGGAAGCAAGAGGGGAAAACAGUAUUAGAUAGCGUGGUCGUCCUACAUCGUAAACGAUGAGUGGCAACACGG